rnacentral:piRNA from 1 species
UCAUGGAGUCUGCAUGAACUCUGUGCUCA